UGACCACCCAGACUACGGUUCAAAUGAUGGGAGACGCCAAGCCAUCGAUCGCAUGCGAGUGAAUGGAGCAUCCGGUCAAUGGAACCCAAGAAUGGCAGAAGAUAGGCGUCAUUUUAGUACUCCCUUUGUCGUGGAUGGAGGAUACCCGGAAAGACGUGUGGAUAGAAAAGCAAUCGGUUAUUGAUUGAUAUGAUGACUUCUACCUUCGGAAAGGCACGGAUAAGACAACGGAACAUGGAUUCGUGAUAAAUGUUGCAUACCUAUUUUAGGGAACAAUUGGUUUUAAUUAUUAGUAGGAGGAGAAAUAUAUAUCGUCGAGGGCAACAGUGGGUAUUAGACGCACAAGAAACAUUUCUGAAAAGCCUUAGGAAUAUCGAUAGUAUGUAGAUCCAUAUAUAUAAUCA